AUGGAGAGCGACGGCAAUUGUUUCUUUAGUACUAUAUGGAUAUGGUUUGUGCACGGGCAGCAUUCAUUAGAGUUUUUGCUUUGUUGGGAAGAGAAAGUGUUAACGCAUCUGCUCCACCUAGUUUAUCUUAAUCAUACCGGUUAUAAUGAAUGCAGAAUGAUGGUAUCAGCUGCACCUACUACUCCAAAUGAUCCUUGGUCGAUGGGACAAGUGGAAGGAAAAGCGUAUCAAGUAAUUUUGAGGAUACCCUACAAAGAAAAAAGUAAUUUUGAGGAGACAUUGAAUUGCAUGGCAAUAUAUGCCAAAGGAGCACGUAGUAAAUUGUUAAUGUUAUCAUGUGCGUGCAUGUCACCUCAGCCAGGACGAACUGAGGUUAGGUAA
rnacentral:rRNA from 1 species